AAACGCAGCUAACUCUCUGCUACUCUCAAGCUAAGCAGAGCUGCACCCGGUCAGUACUUGGAUGGGAGACCACAUAGGAAAGCUAGGUUGCUGCCGUAA
rnacentral:rRNA from 1 species